UGCAUGUAGUGUGAUGUUCAUGAGUGUGUGAUGUGCACUGUGAGGUGCGUGGUGCAAGUCUGGGUACAUUUUGUGUUGUGUGUGUUUGAUGUGCACUUGUGUGCUUAUGUGUGUGUGCAACACUUCAGUGGUUGCUUCUUCCAGCCAGAGUAACCAACUCGUCUUGACUUGCCGCCUGAGACUUCCCAGAUUUUAGCACUGAAAGUCCCAGGCAGUCGGGAGGAAACUCCUCAACCCCUGCGAAGGGAGAUGAUUGGAUUCUCCAAUCCCCAGCUUGCCAGGGUUCUCACGGAACGGCCGCCAGCCCUGUGCGGAGGUGCUCAGCGCCCUCUGCUGGCCCCGACUGGGGCGUGCGGCCUGCGCAGCCCAGGCCUUGGCCGCAGACUCCCCUCUCCAGUCUGCGGUUCAAGCUCUGGCGCCUUCCCUUCCCUGGAUUCCUCGCCUGCGUACACAAGAGAGUUCCUGCAAAGCAAGGCAAACGAUCUCCACCCUCCCCCCAGGGUGACAGGACUCUUCUCCUACCCCUUUAAAUCUGGGCCACACUACACCACGUAAGAGAAGCAGCCAUAUGUUAAGCGCCUGCUGUAUGCAGGCCCUGCACGCUGCUUUCCCACCAGGACCAGACAAGCCCCUCUGGCUCAGUUCCUACACCCGAAGGCCCAAACUAGCUCUGCCUGUUGUCCUUUCACCCCUGCCCAGGCCACAGGCUUUUUUCUGACUACCUCUAGGGUCAUUUCUGGAGGGCAGUUUGAAUAGGUGGCAUUUUAGGAUAAUUACCAAUGAUGCAAGAGCAAAAAAGAAAUAUCAGUGGAAAAGAGGUCAAAAGACAGUCUCUGAAAAGAGAGGCAAAAUUAUAGUGAGCCUUUACUGAGCACUUACUAUGUGCUAGAGGCUCUGCUAAGUGGUUUUUGUUUUCAACUCUUCGUAGAAAACCUAUAAGGUAGGUUUCAUUUCAUGGAUGAGGAAACUGAGGCACAGAAAGAUGGAGGGACUGGUGCCAGGUUAUCUGACCGGAUGAGUCUGACACCAAAGUCACACUCUUAACCACCACGCUACACUUUGCAAGUCUGCCACUCUCCAGAUCAGAGACUGGGCAAGUUACAUGGGCUGGAAGUGUUUCAAGUUUUUUCUUCUUAGAAUGGGGAGAACUCACACGGGUCCAUGGGGAGACACUUGGGGAAAUGCUUAUCACAGCAUCCUUGGUGGUGCCGAGGAGCUGGAAGCCACCUGGGUGUCACGUCACAGGGCAAGAGGAGCUGGGUGCACCCUAUGAGAUACUCAGCCUGAGUUAGAAGCAACAGACUCUGGGUACAUUCAACAGUGAAAGGAGACCUUAAAAAUCCCCUGCUGAGUGAAAAAGUAAGGCACAGAAGGCGGCCUACAGCACUGUAUCAUUAGGGGAAAUGUAAAUCCGUGCACACUAACCAAUCCAUUCUUUACAGGAACAGAUCGAACUCAAUGAAAUGGUUGUGCUGUGGGAAAGGGAGGGUCCUCAGGGCAGAGGUGGGGAUAAAACUGAAUGAAUACUCAGGCAAAAUAGACAGGAGCCCAUGAUGGAACCACAAACAGGAACGGCAUUAACUCAGCCCUCGAAAGCUGCUGUCAAAGAAGGGGCGGGAGGAACAAGCCCUGCCCAUUUAGCCUCCUGUAGCGUGGACGGCUUUCAAAGUUCUUCCAGGCCCCAGCUCUCCUUUGAUCAUCCCGGCACCCAGUGCAGGGACAAUGGAUUCCUAGGACCAAAGAGGCUGCUGAGUGAGCCAGUGCUUUAUAUUCUACAUCUAGGGACGAACUUGAGCGUGCAUCAGAACACCUAGAGGGCUUGUUAAAAUACAGAUUCCUGGCCUCCAAUCCUAUAGUUUCUGAUCCAGUGGGUGUGAGAUUCAACAUUUGCAUUUCUGCAAACUCCUGGUACUGCUGCUCCACCCUGAGCCAGAGGGACUUGUCUGGUCCUGGUGGGAAAGCAGUGCGUGCAGGGCCCGCAUACAGCAGGCGCUUAACAUGUGGCUGUUUCUCUUAUGUGUUGUAAUGUGGCCCAGAUUUAAAGGGGUAGGAGAAGAGUCCUGUCACCCUGGGGGGAGGGUGGAGAUCGUAUGCAAAUGCAAAUUCAACAUUUGCAUUUCUGGAAACUCCUGGUACUCCUGGUACUGCCGAUCCAGAGACACUUUGAGAACCUCUGCUCUAAGGCACACUCCUUAUGCCAAACAGACUGGCCACAGCAGUGCUCCUCAGACUUUAAGGUGCGUGUGAAUGAUCUAGGCAUCCUGUUAAAAUGCAGUCAAAUUCAGCAGGUCAGGAGGGCAGCCUCAGAUGCUCCCUUUCUAUCAAAGGCACUCCAAGGUGGCACCAGCACUGCUGGCCCACAGAGCACAUUUUUCAACAGCAAGGAGUUACACCGCGACUUCCCAAACGUAUGUGCACACCCAACCCCCCUCACUUGUUAAAGGCGUAAUUGCUUGUUAAAGACAUAGAGAUGUUCAGACCCCCUCACUGGCAAUGCUCCAGAGUUCUGAGUUGGAGCCCAGUAAUCUGAAUUUUUUUAAGCUGAUGCUAGAUAGUCUGGGGAACUAGCG